CAUCGAGGUUUCACUUUCAUUCGCAUCGUAUACACGCAGCUGACAGGGUCGCAAACGUUGUGUCCUCCCCCAGCAUGAGCGCGUAGAAGAAAGUGAUCGGAGAGUGCGAAUACUUGAAGAUUCGACAGUGCUUCAAUUCGAAUAGUUUAGCUGUGCAUCGGAUUAAGUUAUGCUUUAAAAUUAUCAAGUGAGACUAAUUUGCAAACGCUAAAAAGACAUUUGUUUUGGUUUUUAAAAUGAUUACAAGCUGCAACGCUUAAACAAGUGAUUCAAAGUGCAUCUUGACUGCGUGGCUGUAAACAUAAAUAAUCGGACCCUGCAAUUUUACUGUUUCAGUUGCCCAUAUUUAAUGGAUGCAGGGCCCUUGCUAUGUGGCAUCAAGUACAACUAUUAGCAGUGGCAUCGGCUGUAUUGGGCGUCUGCAUGUUUGUUAUGCCAGAAGUAAUACACGCUUCUGAGGCAACAACUAAUGCGGUGCCACGCCUCUUUCCACAACCACCAGGACCACAGAAUGCGACAACCCCAAAGAGCUUUGACAGCAAAGAUGGUGACUUAUUGAGUGGCAGCGACAAGGAUCUGAAUUUGCAGAGAGACAGACAUUUCGGAGUUAUCGAGGACCAGUACUUUGACAGUGCAUUACUAGGGGAAGAUGAGCAUAAACAUGUGAGCUUGGACCAAAUUGCAGAGACAGGACCUUUAAGGUAUGUAUUUUAUUCAAUGCGUGAUAAAAGA